rnacentral:tRNA from 1 species
GCCCAGAUACGCCAACCGGCAGAGCGGCUCGGCUCAGCCCCGAGGGUUUGCAGGUUCGAUUCCUGCUCUGGGUA